UUGUGAUGAUGACACCUGAUCAAACAGCUGACCUACACUGAGGCUUGUUUAUGAGCUUUUUAACCCUGAGCAAG